UGAGUUGAUAUUGCAUUGCCUCCUUAUUAAGGAUUCAGUUAGCAUAAAAUUUGAACCGGUAUAAUUGAGUUUCAACAUUAAUUAAUGUGGAAAAAAUAUGCAUGGCGGAAAAUCUAGCUCAAAAUUCAAUUCCAGAAAUGAACAAGUUAUAUUCAUAUGUUCUACAGUAAAUCAUGGCAUGAACAGCUAUCUGGCUAAGACAAUGUAACAUCCCGUUUUAAGUUUUGAAUUGAGAAAUAAUAGUUCGAAAAUUCGGGCAGUCACAGAUAAAUAAUUAGGUAACACAUUACAAGUAAGCAAAGCAAAAAGAAUCAGAAAUGAGUAAGAGCCGAAGUUGAGGCUGCCAAGUGAAUCAGUCUUAACUCAACUCAUCAUCUGCAUUACCUUGUCAAUAACAAGCUUUGUCACGAUCAUUGCAAAAAUAAAUUUCAUUAAGGUGGCCCUGGCCGUGUGAACAUUGCCACCUUAUGUCCCUUAUGGCUCGGAGAAGAAGGGGGAGCUUUCCGUCCUUUAACUAGCAUGGGAAAGAUAUCCUUCUCCACAUGAUGCCUCUGCGUUCGCAAAUUCAACGAUGCCAAUACGGAUCUUCUGUCGAAAUUUUGUGACAUGUUUAUUGUCCGAGCUCCAGAGAUGCUUAGAACCAAGUCUGCGAGCAUUAAUAUGAACAACAAUUUGGUUCUGAAGGAGAAAAUUGGCGAUUUAUUGAAGGUAGACAUGUAGAUUUGAAGCAACAGAAUGGAUGAAUGUUGUUGUCUUGGUUGAAAUGUGGAGAGGUGCAGAGCCUAAGCUGAGACAUAAACUAGGGGGUAAAGAAUAGAAAGGGUGAAGUGCUUUCGUGUAUAUUUCAAUGCGGCAUGGCCG
rnacentral:lncRNA from 1 species